GUCCACGCCCUAAACGAUGUCAACUAGUUGUCGGGGAAGCAAUUCCUUGGUAACGCAGCUAACGCGUGAAGUUGACCGCCUGGGGAGUACGGUCGCAAGAUUAAAACUCAAAGGAAUUGACGGGGACCCGCACAAGCGGUGGAUGAUGUGGAUUAAUUCGAUGCAACGCGAAAACCUUACCUACCCUUGACAUGUCCAGAACCCCGGUGAAAGCUGGGGGUGCCCGAAAUGGAAUUGGAACACAGGUGCUGCAUGGCUGUCGU
rnacentral:rRNA from 1 species